GGCGUGGCCAAGUGGUAAGGCAGCGGGUUUUGGUCCCGUUACUCGGAGGUUCGAAUCCUUCCGUCCCA
rnacentral:tRNA from 1 species